ensembl:lncRNA
UGGAGGAAAGGCUUAUCAGUGCGGUGGCUAACUAUCCAGAGCUGUAUGAUGCUAGCUGCUACUUUUACCGAGACAGGAAUAAAAAGGACCGAGCUUGGAGGCACAUAAGUGAGGAGAUCGGGCAACCUGGUUAGUUCAUUCAUUCGUCUUUUGAAUUUUCAGACUGACCCGAUGAAGCCGCGCAAAAGCUAGCAAGCCCGCCUACUGUCCCGCUAUUUUCCCAUUGAUGUACAAAUACCUUUCCGCUAACAAGAUAAUGUGUUUAUUCAGAGGACAUCUGCAGGAGAAAGUGGAAGAGCCUCAGGGACACAUAUAAUAAGGAGAAGAGGACGGAGAAGGACAAGAGGAGUCUGCAGCAGGAUCGAGGAAGAGAUAGAAGUUCUUCGCGGUCAUGGGGUUUCUGGACCCCUUCCUCACCCCGCGGGAGACUAGCGGCAAUAUGGUGCGGACCGUGGAGAACUUCCCCCCCGAGGACCAGGGACAGCCCGGAGAGGCAGCAGGGGAGUGUCAGUCAGAAGAGCCAACUGAUUCUGCAGCAGAGCCAUCCCCUGUCCCUGGUCCCUCAGCUCCUGCUGCUGCACCCACAGGCCCACAGAGGAGGACAGCUCAAAGGCGGUCGAGGGACGGGUCCCAGGACGGUCCAUCGGCGGUGGAGCUGGCCAUCCUGGAGUCCCUGAAGAGGCCACGCCAGUCUCCAACGGAGCAUUUCCUCCUCGGCCUUGUUCCUGCUCUGGAGAGCAUGCCGCCUCAGACACGAGAAUGUACACAAAUGUAUAAAUUAGUUUUUGAAAACAGCACAGCUGUGUUAAAUUUGGAAACAUUAGACCCUAGCGAUCAGUAGUUUUCUGAUGAGGCAGCAGCUCUCCAGGGCAGAAACAAUGUUGUUAUUUUUCUCCUCCUUCUCCCUGAGGCUCUUCCACUCCAAGCUGGGUCCUUUUUAUUCCUGUCU